CUACGGGGGGCAGCAGUGGGGAAUAUUGCACAAUGGGCGCAAGCCUGAUGCAGCCAUGCCGCGUGUAUGAAGAAGGCCUUCGGGUUGUAAAGUACUUUCAGCGGGGAGGAAGGGAGUAAAGUUAAUACCUUUGCUCAUUGACGUUACCCGCAGAAGAAGCACCGGCUAACUCCGUGCCAGCAGCCGCGGUAAUACGGAGGGUGCAAGCGUUAAUCGGAAUGACUGGGCGUAAAGCGCACGCAGGCGGUUUGUUAAGUCAGAUGCGAAAUCCCCGGGCUCAACCUGGGAACUGCAUCUGAUACUGGCAAGCUUGAGUCUCGUAGAGGGGGGUAGAAUUCCAGGUGUAGCGGUGAAAUGCGUAGAGAUCUGGAGGAAUACCGGUGGCGAAGGCGGCCCCCUGGACGAAGACUGACGCUCAGGUGCGAAAGCGUGGGGAGCAAACAGGAUUAGAUACCCGGGUAGUC
rnacentral:rRNA from 1 species